rnacentral:rRNA from 1 species
GACGAACGCUGGCGGCGUGCUUAACACAUGCAAGUCGAACGAAGUGGCGAACGGGUGAGUAACGCGUAAUCAACCUGCCCUUCAGAGGGGGACAACAGUUGGACACGACUGCUCAUACCGCAUACUGAAGGAGGGGAUUCCGUCUGUUUAGCUAGUUGGAGGGGUAACGGCCCACCAAGGCGAUGAUCAGUAGCCGGUCGGGGAGGAUGAACGGCCACAUUGGGACUUGGACACGGCCCAGAAUCCUACGGGAGGCAGCAGUGGGGAAUCUUCCGCAAUGGACGAAAGUCUGACGGAGCAACGCCGCGGUAGUGAUGACGGCCUUCGGGUUGUAAAGCUCUGUUAAUCGGGACGCGGUACCGGAAUAGAAAGCCACGGCUAACUACGUGCCAGCAGCCGCGGUAAUUC